rnacentral:rRNA from 1 species
UGGUUUCUAGUGGCGGACGGGUGAGUAACGCGUGGGUAACCUGCCUUAUACAGGGGGAUAACAGUCAGAAAUGACUGCUAAUACCGCAUAAGCGCACAGGACCGCAUGGUCCGGUGUGAAAAACUCCGGUGGUAUAAGAUGGACCCGCGUUGGAUUAGCUUGUUGGUGGGGUAACGGCUCACCAAGGCGACGAUCCAUAGCCGGCCUGAGAGGGUGAACGGCCACAUUGGGACUGAGACACGGCCCAGACUCCUACGGGAGGCAGCAGUGGGGAAUAUUGCACAAUGGGGGAAACCCUGAUGCAGCGACGCCGCGUGAAGGAAGAAGUAUCUCGGUAUGUAAACUUCUAUCAGCAGGGAAGAUAGUGACGGUACCUGACUAAGAAGCCCCGGCUAACUACGUGCCAGCAGCCGCGGUAAUACGUAGGGGGCAAGCGUUAUCCGGAUUUACUGGGUGUAAAGGGAGCGUAGACGGACUGGCAAGUCUGAUGUGAAAGGCGGGGGCUCAACCCCUGGACUGCAUUGGAAACUGUUAGUCUUGAGUGCCGGAGAGGUAAGCGGAAUUCCUAGUGUAGCGGUGAAAUGCGUAGAUAUUAGGAGGAACACCAGUGGCGAAGGCGGCUUACUGGACGGUAACUG